AGUUAACUUGGAAUGUUACAGAUUCUAUUCCCUGAGAACAGAAUUCCUCAGAUUAAAUCUCUGUGCUUUGACAGAGGGUGUGCUUUAAAUAAAAUUAAAUCCUGAGAAUAAGAAUAUAAAUAUAUAACUGGCCACGCAUUUAUAAAUCUUGAAAAGGUUAGUGUAGAGUCAGUGGCACAUGAAUGAGUGAAGUAACAGGAAACUUCAAGAGAGAGGAAGCACUUUUAGGGCAGAUGUUUAAAUUACUAUUUCUAUUCUUCUAAGGAUUUGAAUAUUUAUAUCUUAAGUCAUAAAAAUACACACACUUGAGGGGAAGAAAGAAGUUCAGUUUUUGAUAUUUUUAUGAUUGUAGUGGGCGAAUCUAUCAUCAGAGUGUUUUUCUGGUCUGUCAGGCAAGAAAGAGCAAACAUAUGUUAGCUUCAUCAUGGAAUUUUUCCCAUGGCACCAGAAGUCAAUGUAUAUGUACUUAUGUUGAUAUACAUUUAGGGGUUGCUUCAAGUAGUCAUUAACAGAAGCUUAUGUUAAUUUAAAACAUGUAAACCAGAAUUGAUUUAUAUUAAGUAUAGAACUUUCCAUAUCACCUCUGACUUUGAAAGGCUGGUACUUCUGGUGUCUUUGAUUUAUUUUUUUCAUGGAAUGUAUUCCUUCAAGUUCAUGAUCAUAGUCAGUGAAUUUCUAAGCACCUGAUUUUCUUUAACAUGAAUUUUUCUGUCUGCUGAGAUGACAUAAUAAAAUCUUGCUCACAUAAGCUAGAACUAUGAGAAAGAUGUGGAAUUUCAUAUUUAAAUUCAGUAAUGGCUUGCUGUUUCAUUUAAAUCAGUUUUAACAAAUUAAUGUAGCUUUCUUUAUUCUUAGAAGUGAUUGGAUAAUAUAUUAAUCAAAUUUUACUUAAUUCUUUCCCUGAAUUUAAGAACUUGGAAAGAUGGCUGCGUUCUGCACUGUGAAAUCAAAGUCCAGAGACCAUUUAAGGGACAAUAAUUGCAGAAAACAAAUAAAGAAGAGGAGCCUUAAAGAAUACAUAGAGAUUUUGAAACAAGAAGUGUGAAACAAAUCCUUGUCCUGCUCAGGCCCCCCAGCUGUGCAACAUGAUCUAAAACUGUUAAUUAGACUUGUAAUACUUUGACAAAUUCUUCCAGCUGACCUAACCCUGAGGUAUGUGUGACUGCUUAUUGUUACUUUCUUUUCAUUCUUAGUUUGUGCUUUUACAAUAUGUUGAGCAUUUAGAAAGUAAAUGUUCUUGUUACCUGAGGUUCUGUAAUCUUGUUGUGUCGUUUAAAUAAUUUAAUCCUUUUGGAGUUGUCAAAUUUAUGUUUCAGUGUUUGUCCCAGUGGUCUGGAAGGAUGUAAUCACUAGUGGAUCCAGAAAAAGAAGUAAUCUCAUAGGAAAGAAAUCAACAAUUUUUGAUAAAAGUUUUAGAGAAUAUGGGGAGAUAUCAGAGUCCUUAGAAGAAAAG
rnacentral:lncRNA from 1 species